CCCUGCAGGGUGGGGCCAGCAGAGGAGGGAGGGAGGAGGGCAGGGGCUGCAGCCCCCAGGGCAGGGGGACCUUGUCUUGUGGGGACUCUGGGAGCCCCGGCUGGCUCGCUCUCCUCUCCACUUCGCCUCACUGCUGUCCUGGGACAGAGGGUGCCCUGCCCUUGGGAGGUGGUGCUCCGAGGCCCGGCCAGAGUCUGCAGAACCUGCGUGUGUGUGCUGGGAGCCACUCCCCAGGCAGGCGGGGGAACAAGCGUGGCCCCGAACAGUGCAGGACAGGAGGAGGGGCGGCUACGGGGGCCCGCCAUUUGCUGUGCACACAUGGCCCCUCUGCAGGGAGAGGGGCUCUGUCCUGGCUGCGCCACCCCCACCCACUGCCCAAGCCUGCUGCCUCCCAAGUCCCCUG
rnacentral:lncRNA from 1 species